CAGCCGGAGCACGGCCGGAUCCAGUUCCAUCGACUCAACAUCAAGAACGGCUCCCAACCCGAGGGCGUCAUCAAGAUGACGGAUCUGGUGAGCUCCUCGCCUUCCUUCCCCUCUCUCUCUCUCUCUCUCUCACUCUCCGCGCUGACAGGUCCCUUCCCUGCAGCUCCCAUUGGCCCCCCUUUCUGGAGAUCCGCUUAUCCCUCCUUUCUCCGGACGUCUAAAGCGACAAGAUCAAACACCUCUCUCCGGACUAGAGUGACAUGAUCAAACACCUCCUCGAGCCCCCGUUGGAGCACGGCGGGAUCCAGUUCCAUCGAUUCAACAUCGAGAGCGACUCCCGACUCGAGGGCCUCAUCAAGAUGUCGGAUCCGGUGACCUCCUCGCCUUCCUCUCUCUCUCUCUCUCUCUCUCUCUCUCUCUCAUUUGCUCCCCCGGCUACGGGUCCCCUCUACUGCAGUUCCAAUUGGCCCCCCUUUCGCCAGAUCCGCUUCUCCCCCCUUUCUCCGGAUGUCUACAGAACACCUCAUCGACUCACCGCCGGAGCACGGCCGGAUCCAGUUCCACCGACUCAACAUCAAGAACGGCUCCUGACUCGAGGGCCUCAUCAAGAUGUCGGAUCUGGUGAGCUCCUCGCAUUCCUUCCC
rnacentral:lncRNA from 1 species